rnacentral:rRNA from 1 species
AGAACGAACGCUGGCGGCAGGCUUAACACAUGCAAGUCGAGCGAGGACUUCGGUCCUAGCGGCGGACGGGUUAGUAACGCGUGGGAACGUGCCCCUUUCUUCGGAAUAGCCUCGGGAAACUGGGAGUAAUGCCGGAUACGCCGAGCCAUCGAGAGAUGGUUUGGGAAAGAUUUAUCGGAGAGGGAUCGGCCCGCGUUGGAUUAGGUAGUUGGUGGGGUAAUGGCCUACCAAGCCGACGAUCCAUAGCUGGUUUGAGAGGAUGAUCAGCAACACUGGGACUGAGACACGGCCCAGACUCCUACGGGAGGCAGCAGUGGGGAAUCUUGCACAAUGGGCGAAAGCCUGAUGCAGCAACGCCGCGUGCGGGAGAAGGCCUUAGGGUGUAAACGCUUCAGCAGGAGAAAUGACGGUACUGUAGAAGAAGGUGCGGCCAACGUACGUGCCAGCAGCCGC